rnacentral:tRNA from 1 species
UCGCUACCUUGGCAUGGUAGAGGCCGCGGGUUCAAUUCCCGCUCGGUCCA